GCCUUGCGCAGGCGCAGUGCUUGGAGCGAGCGUUAGCGGAGUUGGUUAGCGGAUGGCCGUUAGCGGAUGGCGGAGUUGGUACCUUUUGCGGUUCCCACCGAGAGUGACAAAACGUUGCUAGUGUGGGAGCUGAGCUCCGGACCCACGGCCGAAGCUUUGCAUCAUUCUCUGUUCACAGCAUUUUCCCAGUUUGGCCUUUUGUAUUCCGUCCGGGUCUUCCCAAACGCUGCAGUGGCUCAACCUGGUUUCUAUGCCGUCAUUAAGUUUUAUUCAGCAAGGGCUGCCCACAGAGCCCAAAAGGCAUGCGACGGGAAGCAGCUUUUUCAGACAUCUCCUGUCAAGGUUCUUCUUGGCACCAGACAUAAGGCAGUUCAACAUCAGGCCCUUCCCCUGAACAGCUCCCAAUGCCAAGAACUGGCGAAUUACUACUUUGGUUUCAAUGGAUGGUCAAAAAGGAUCAUCAAGCUGCAGGAGCUUUCUGACCUUGAAGAAAGGGCGAAUGGAGAUACUGUGGUGCCACUUCUGAAGCAAAGCCUGAAGUUCUUCUGUGCUUUAGAGUUGGUGUUGCCAUCCUAUGAUUGCAGGAGUCCUGGCAUUGGCUUGGUGGAGGAGCCUGUGAAUAAGAUGGAGGAAGGACCACUAUCAUUCCUUAUGAAAAGGAAGACAGCCCAGAAGCUUGCUAUUCAGAAGGCUUUGUCAAAUGCAUUUCAGAAACUGUUGAUUGUGGUUCUAGAAAGUGGUAAAAUAGCUGUGGAGUACAGACCCAGUGAAGAGAUCGUAGAUGUCAGAUGGGAAGAGGAGCUACAUGGUUUAAUUCAAAUCUUCCUGAGAUCACCUCUCAGUAAACUACUUGCACUCAGCCAGGCACAGUGGCUCAAGCCUGUAAUCCCAGCACUUUGGGAGGCCAAGGUGGGUGGAUCACCUGAGGCCAGUAGUUCGAGACCAGCCUGGCCAACAUAGUGAAACCCCAUCUCCACUAAAAAUUCAAAAAUUAGCUGGGCAUGGUGGCAGAUGCCUAUAAUCCCAGCUACUCAGAAGGCUGAGGCAUGAGAAUCACUUGAACCCAGGAGAUGGAGGUUAUAGUGAGCUGAGAUCACACCACUGUAUUCCAGCCUGGGUAAAUAGAGUGAGACUCUGUCUCAAAAAAAAAAAAACUUGCACUCAAAUCCUUAUCUCAGGUUCGGCUUAUGGAGGAGCCCAACCUAAGAAAGGCAUGAAAGAAAAAAAGUCAACUCCUAGGUUGUUGGCCUGACCAGUUGAGCUUCAUCAUUUUAGCUUAAACAGCCACAUUUAUGGAGUAUAUGCCAAGUACCAUGUUACAUAUUUUAUGCCAAUUCCUAAUCAUAGCCACAUUGUGUAGUAUAUCGCAUCAUCCUCAUAUCUCCAAUAAGAAAACAGGCUUGGAAAAGUCAACCAGCUGCCCAGACAACUAGUAAGUGGUGGAGCUGCUUUGUAAAGAACCGGAAAUGAGGGAGGUAGAAAGUAAACUGCUUUGGUAUGGCUGCCCAAAUGUGGGGUUAUGACAACUCCUAUUUCCAUUAUUUCCAUGUGCCAGACCUCCCUCCCAACUGGAAAGUUCCUAUUUCCUCACAGUGAAAGUUCCUAUUUCCUCGAGUUCCUAUUUAUUUAUUUAUUUAUUUUUUUUUUGAGGGGGAAUCUUGCUUUGUCUCCCAGGCUGGAGUACAGUGGCGUGAUCUUGGCUCAGUGCAACCUCCACCUCCCAGGUUCAAGCAAUUCUUCUGCCUCAGCCUCCCAAGUAGAUGGGAUUACAGGUGCUGGCCACCACACCCAGCUAACUCUUGUAUUUUUAGUAGAGACAGGAUUUCACCAUGUUGGCCAGGCUGGUCUCGAACUCCUGACCUCAAGUGAUCCACCCACCUCGGCCUCCCAAAGUGCUGAGAUUAUAGGUGUGAGCUACCACACCCAGCCACAGUGAGGAUUCUUAAUGCUACUAUCAUUCACCUUGUCACUGAUGGAGAAAUUGGAAGAGAUGGAGAAUGAAAAAGAGAGCAAAAGUAUAGAGGAUGAGAGAAAAAGUUUACAAUGUGCCAUUUACUGUUCAAUUCUUCAUGUCAUUUCAUUUAAUCUUCCCAACAAGGCUCGAGGGAUACAUUAGCUAAUACUAUCUUUCAUUUCACAGAAGGGGGAAAGGCUGAGUUCUAUGAGACAGUAAAGAGAAAAUCCAGCCAACCUGACACCCAGGCUGUCUGGGUCCCGCCCCGCCUCACUGUGACUCAGAAGUUGUCUGAGUAGUUGUCUUAAUUGGGCUGACAUUGGAGCACCCAUUCUCACCAAUGGUGGAAGAAACACUUAAACAGGGUAAUUAAGAAAAAUGGGCUCCUCUGAAAUGAAGCAGCUUCACUUCAGGUAAAUAUUCAUAGCCAGUGGGAAGUUCAAACUCCUGGUCAGGACUGUUUCUUACCUCCCAAGGUGGCUUCAGGAUGCAGGGCCUCAUGGCCCUGGUUGGGGGUAGGGUGUAGUUCUCAUUCUGUUGACUCCGGCUGACCUGUUGACAUAUGGCUCAUCUCACCUUGCCCUGGGACCUUCCUGAUGCUACAGUGCUACAGCUGGCGGACCUUGUGGUCAGUUCUCUUGGUGAGGCCAGAACCCACUUGCUGCCUGGGCCCAACCAGUUCUCACUGCUCUGAGUCUCAGCAUGUCCUCCAUCUUUUUUAAAGUACCCAUUUGGCAGCCUCUGCUAUAUGGGCAUCCAGAACCUUAUCAGAAUGUCCAAAAAGUCAUUCCCAUUCUCCAUCUCAGAUACUCCCAGCUGCCAUGGAAUUCUCCAUUUCUUCACAUGCUGCUUCCCCCCACCAGGGUCAGGGGCCUCAUUUCUUCAUUCUCCCAAAACAACCAUGAUGUAAGGCUAUUGGAUGCAACAGAUGUUUACUGGAGAUUUGCACAUAAGAUAGGUAUUGAAUGUAGCACAGAAUAAUUCAGAUGAUAACUCAAAAUUGGAUACCAGCCAUAAAAAUCCCUGCCUUAGGCCAGACACAGUAGCUCAUGCCUAUAAUCCUAGCACUUUGGGAGGCCGAGGUGGACAGAUCACUCGAGGUCAGGAGUUCGAGACCAACUUGGCCAACAUGGUGAAACCCCAUCUCUAUUAAAAAUACAAAAAUUAGCUGGGCGUGGUGGUGGGUGCCUAUAGUCCUAGCUACUUGGGAGGCUGAGGUAUGAGAAUCACUUGAACCCGGGAGGCUGAGGUUGCGGUGAGCCAAGAAUGCACCACUGCACUCCAGCCUGGGUGACAGAGCGAGACUCUAUCUCAAAGAAAAAAAAUGCCUGCCUUAAAAAACCACUGACCAUUCCCUAACAGAAAAAUUAAUCUCUCCCUGGCCUGAUAUUAUUCCCAGGAUCUGGCCACUGUGUUCUAGAGCCCCGCACAUGCCCCUCUUCUCCCUCACCACCCCAUGUUCUUGCCCCAUCUCUCAGCCUGACCAUGAAUGACUUCCAAUCCUGUUUCUUACGCAGAAAGAUUUAGCCCUCUCUAGGCAAUAUGAGGUAAGGGAGGGGUGUGAUGGAAGGGUUUUCCUUUUUAUAAUCAAACAUGCCCAUUAAGGCAUUUUUUUCCCUAAUAUACUAUGAGUAAUUCCCUCCCUAGGAAGAAUUUUUUUGCCCUCAUUUUAAAUCUGCCAGCUCAAUGUUAGGCAGCUUUACUAAAACACUUUUGUAAUGCCUCCAAACAUUUUGUAAUGGGGUAUUUUUUUGAAUCCUCACACAAAGCAAUAGGUAAUACUAUUACAUCCAUUUUACAAAGAAACCAAGGCUUAGCAAAGUUAGGGAAUAUAGCCACUGAGUGAAUCAACAGCCAAGUAAGAACUCAGACCCAGGUCUGCCUUACUCUAAAUGCCCGUGCUCUCUGCUACUGCCCAUCGGGGAGAAAGAGAUAUGUGUCUGCAGCUGAGAGGCAAACCCCAUAUUCAGAACCAAUUCCGCCGGGUGCAGUGGCUCAUGCCUAUAAUCCCAGCACUUUAGGAGGCCGAGGCAGGUGGAUCACAAGGUCAAGAGAUUGAGACCAUCCUGGUCAACAUGGUGAAACCCCGUCUCUACUAAAAAUACAAAAAUUAGCUGGGCAUGGUGGUGCGUGCCUGUAGUCCCAGAUACUUGGGAGGCUGAGGCAGGAGAAUUGCUUGAACCCAGGAGGCGGAGGUUGCAGUGAGCCGAGAUCGCGCCAUUGCACUCCAGCCUGGGUAACAAGAGCGAAACUCUGUCUCAAAAAAAAAAAAAAAAAAAAGAACCAAUUCCCAUGUAGCAGGAAUUGCUUCUGCACUGCAGGGGCCUCUGUGGAGGGGACAGGCCAGGACACAGGAGCCCUUGACACCGGGGAAGCUUGUUCCCAAGGUCCCUACUGGUCCAGCACACCAUCCUCAUGGAGAAACCUCCAGGAUUCUCACUCCCUCCCAGCUCAGCCUGUUCCCUGACUGUUGAGUCUGCCCUGGAAACAGUCCCCUUGCGGCUGACCACACUGUUUCUAGACCUCAGAGCUACAGAGAGGAAGCUGCAAACUUGAGGCUCUCCCAGACCCUUCUGAUCAAUGUGCCUCCCUGGCAGGGAGGUAUCAUGCCUUUUUUUUUUUUUUUUUUGAGACGGAGUUUCGCUCUUGUUACCCAGGCUGGAGUGCAAUGGCGCAAUCUCGGCUCACCGCAACUUCCGCCUCCUGGGUUCAGGCAAUUCUCCUGCCUCAGCUUCCUGAGUAGCUGGGAUUACAGGCACGCGCCACCGUGCCCAGCUAAUUUUUUGUAUUUUUAGUAGAGACGGGGUUUCACCAUGUUGACCAGGAUGGUCUCGAUCUCUUGACCUCGUGAUCCACCCGCCUCGGCCUCCCAAAGUGCUGGGAUUACAGGCUUGAGCCACCGUGCCCAGCCGGCAUCAUGCCUUUUUAUAUCUACUGGGCAAGGGGCCAAGCCCCCAGAGGGCCACCAGUGUUUGCUGAACUGAGUCCAAUUCCAGCUACUACUGUUUCCUCCUUCCUUUGCGUAAAGGGCUCCAGUAGGCUCAGCUGAUCUCAGUGACUGUGAGCACAGCUGCUUCCAUUUACUCAGCACCUACUAUGUGCCAAGCAUCCUAUGCAAUGACCUUAUCUGGUCUUUCCCAGUCACGUGGGUUCAGUAGAAAGUCAGCCCAUUUUAUAGAUGAAGGAAACAGUCCAGCAAGAGCACAACAGUUUCUUGAGCUUUUACAGCAUAAGCAGCAGAGGCUGGAAUUUGAACCAAAGUUUGUACAACUCCAAGGGCUAUGCUGUUUCCACUAUGAAACACCCUCUGUCAGAGGAGAUAAUGUCUAUCACUCCUUCCCUGGAGAUGAAAUACCACUUCUUUUUUGGGGGGAAAGCAUGUAUGGUUGUUUUUGGUGUCAAAAUAUGAUUCUGAAAGUCUACUUCCCUGAUUCGGUAAAGGGUGGGGUGAGGGGUUAGGUGAGGGGCCUGGGGCAGGAAUGAGCCACUGGGUGAGUCAUGCACCUCAACCUCUGCUGAGAAGACCUGAAUCUUUCACUGGCCUGAGGGGUAAAAGAAGCUCUAAAACUGGGGCUGAAGCUCCAUGGGAAUUCUCCCUCCAGUACUUCUUAGAAAUAGAUCAAAUAUGCACAUGAUACAAAAUUCUAAAGAUACAAAGUGGUAUACAAGAAAAGGAGGUCUCUCUCCUAGCUCUCUUCCAGGCCUCCCUCCAGUUACCCUUCCUAACAAGAAGGGAAUUGUUGCCAGUUUCUUAUGCAGCCUCCAAAAGCAUUUACACAGAUGAGUCUCUCUCUUCUUUUUAAACACACACACACACACACACACACUGUAGCAUAUUAUAUAAGCCAUUCUGUCCUCCUUGUUUCUUUCACUUAGUGUGUCUUAGCGAUCAUUCAAUUUCUGCAAGUAUGGAGAUUUUCUCUCUAUUUUUUAGACGGAGUCUCACUCUGUCACCCAGGCUGCAGUGCAGUGGCAUGAUCUUGGCUCACUGCAACCUCCACCUCCCAGGUUCAAGUGAUUCUCCUGCCUCAACUUCCUAAAUAGCUGCUACUACAGGCAUGCACCACCAGGCCGGGCUAAUUUUUUAAUUUUUAGUAGAGACAGAGUUUCGCCAUGUUGUCCAGGCUGCUCUUGAACUCCUGACCUCAAGUGAUCCACCCAACUCAGCUCCCCAAAGUCUGUGCCCAGGCAGAGAUUACCUCAUUUUUUUUUUUAGUAGCAGCCUGACAUUCCAUUAUAUGGAAGUGCCAGAAUUAUUUCAUGAGUCCUUUAUUGAUGAACUUCAAUCUUCAGGAUUACAAACCAUGAAUAUCUUGUAUAGAUCAAGUUGUACAUAUGUGAGUACAUCUGUAAGAUAAACUACUAGAAGUAGGAUUACUAGUGCUUAUUAAAUACAGUAUGCACUUUAAAAAGUUUUCAAACUUUAUAGAGAAUGUAGCAAUGUAUACCCCAUCAACAAUAAAAGGUACCAUGCCCAGCUAAUUUUUUGUGUUUUUAGUAGAGAUGGGGUUUUGCCAUGUUGGCGAAGUUGGUCUGGAACUCCUGGCCUCAAGUGAUCCACCCACCUUGGCCUCCCAAAGUGCUGGGAUUAUGGGCAUGAGCCACUACACCCAGCUGGGAGGGUUUUUUAUAUGAGAAAAAAACUGGAAGAGACUGGCUGAGAAGUAGACAGGCAGGCCUAUGCCUGGCCCAGAAAUUUAUCCUAGGACAAGUAAAGAAGUCACCAACAGGCUGUUCCCUACAGCUUCAUAGAUGCGUCCUCUGUGAGGAUACUCUUGGGAUGUUUCUGAAGGACUCUUGUGGUGUCUGUCUACUGUAUCUAAGUGCCUGGCAUGGCCUCUGGAACAUGAUGGGUACUCAACAAAGGCUCAAGAAAACAAGGUUCAGAGAGCUUCCAGAGAGCAGAACACAUCAAGGCUGACAGGAAGGUGAAGGAGAACUCAUCCACGUGCUGGGCGAAUGGUGCACCCCAACUCCAGAGGAACAGAAGCUCUUCCAGAUCUUGCCUUGUGUAUCUUUUCAUCUGGCUGUUUAAAUGUAAGUGUUUCCCUGAGUUCUGAGAGCUCCUCCAGCAAGUUAAUCAAACCCAAAGAGGGUGGAUCAUGGUAACCCCAACUUGAAGCUGCUUGGUCAGACAUUCUGGAAGCCCAGACUCAUGACUGGUAAGAAGGAGAGAGCAGUUCUGUGGAACUGAUUCCUCAACCUGUGGUUUCUGAGGCUAUUUCCAGGUAGACCAGUAUCUAAUUGAAUUAACUGGCAGACACCUGGCUGGUGUCCAUUGCAGAACUGAUUGCUUACCUGUGUGGGAAGAAACCCCUAGAUAUUUGGUCACAGAAAUCUUGUGUGUUGUUAUGGUGUAAGAGAACAGGAAAAAUGCAUGCUGAAUGUUUUUUUCCACACUCCCAGUCCACAAAAGUUUUCUCCACUUAUGAACAAAGAAUUUUUUUUUUUUUCCUGAGACAGGGUCUUGCUCUGUCAUCCAGACUAGAGUACGAUGGUGUGAUCGUGGCUCAUUCAUGGGGAGUUUCAACCUCACGGGUCCAAGUGAUCCUUCUACUUUAGCCUCCUGAGUAGCUGGGACCACAGGUGCAUGCCACCAUGCCCAGCUGAUUUUUAAAUUUUUUGUAGAGACAGAGUCUCCCUAUGUUGCCUAGGCUGGUUUUGACCUUCUGGGCUGAAGCAAUCCUCCCACCUCAGCCUCCCAAAGUGCUGAGAUUACAGGUAUGAGUCACUGUGCCUGACCAUGAACAAAGGAUUUUAACAGACAUAAGAUGCAGAUGUGAAGGAAUAGCUGAGAGGUCUCUUUUUGUUGUUGUUUGUUUUUUCUUAAAGACAGGGUUUCACCAUGUUGGCCAGACUGGUCUCGAUCUCUUGACCUUAGGCAACCCAUCCACCUUGGCCUCCCAAAGUGCUUUGAUUACAAGGAUGAGCCACCGCGCUCAGCCUGUGAAGGAAUAGAUGAAUAGACGUGUGCUGGACAGGAAGGAGUGAAGGAAUGAGAGGGCAAAUAGAGGAAUGCAGUGGUGCCCAUAGAGGACAAUUUCAUGAGCUAAGUGGUAAAGUGAGUCCCGGGCCUUUGAUGGAUAAGAGAGAAAGAAGGGAUCAUAAUCUCUCAGCCUUACCCAUAGGAGGAGUAAUGUGAACUAAUUUUAGGGGUAAACAGGACACUUACCCCCAAGUCUCACUCUAGUAUACUAGAAAUUCUUUACUUUUCUCUCUCUCUUUUUUUCUUUGGGUUUUUUUUUUUUUUUUUUUUUUUUGAGACAGAGUUUCACUCUUGUCACCCAGGCUGGAGUGCCAUGGUGUGAUCUCCAGUCACUGCAACCUCUGCCUCCUGGCUUCAAGCGAUACUCCUGCCCCAGCCUCAUGAGUAGCUGGGAUUAUAGGCACCUGCCACCAUGCCUGGCUAAUUUUUUGUAUUUUUAGUAUAGACAGGGUUUCACCACAUUGGCCAGGCUGGCAUCGAACUCCUGACCUCAAGAGAUCCACCCACCUCACUCUCCCAAAGUGCUGGAAUUACAGGUGUGAGUCACUGCACCCUGCCUAUACUUUUCUAUCUUUUAACUGAGAAGGAAAUAAAUAACAUUGUCAGAUCUUCAUUUCACAGAUGAGGAAACUUGGACCUACAAAGGGCAAGUGGUUCACCAAAAUCUAACAAAUGGGUUUGGAGCUGCAAUAGCACUAGAGCUUAGGUCUCUCAAUUCCCAGUUCCUUGCUCUUUUCACUACCCAAAGCUGACACUAAAAGGAAUGACUGUGGUGCAGAAUUUCCAAACCCUAAUUGGAGGAAAUUCCCCAAGGGGACUUUUUCAUGCAAGUUGGAGAGCCUCAAAACUGCAAUGAAUUCUUGGAAGGUUCUAAGGACCCUAAUAGUCUAAACUGAACAUUAGAAAGAAGGGGAAGCAGCAUAGUGGGGAAGCAGGGAACUGGGACCCCCCUCCCUGAGAAUGGAAGUAAUAGGCAAGAAGCCAAGGGGCUUCCCAGGAUGAGCUCAAAAAAGGGCAGCAUCCAGACUACAACCACAUCAUCCUGUAAGAUUCUGAAGCUUUGUCACUUCCUUUCUAAGCCUGUCUGUGAAACUCUUUGAAAAGGGGUAUGUGUGCUGACAAGACAGCCAGGAAGGGAGAAGGAAGGACCACAUCCCGCUCCUUGGCCAGGCUCUGAGAGACAGAAAUCCAGUGAAGGACAAAGCAUGGGGCUGAGUGCCUGAAGCCCACUGCAUUGAGGGCAGGAGAGCUCAGGGCAGGUCUGAGUCAUUAAUAUUUUCUGUGUUUCUUCCUAAUAAGUGAAAUAAUGUGCAUUGUGUCUAGCACAGUGCCUGACAGCUCACAGAAAAUCACCCACUUCCCCUCUCCCACCGCCAUGCCUCCUAACUCUCAGAUGCGAGGAACACCUCUACUGGGAGGGGGAAGCCAUUGAGGGAAGAAUUGCUGGCACCUUGACAUUUGGGGAAAGAAAGGAAAGGAAUUGUUUUCCAAGUAUCUACUUUGUGCCACAAAUGGUAUUGGGCAAUUUACUGAUUGCCUCAUUUAAUCUUUUGAAGUAUCCUUGGAGUUAGGUAUUCUCAGCCCCGUUUCCAGAAAGGAAACCAAGGUGAAAAAUAGUUAAUAAUUUGUUCAAAAGCAUACAGAAAAGUGCCAGUUGCGGUGGCUCACACCUGUAAUCCUAGCACUUUGGGAGGCCAAGGGAGAUGGAUCAUUUGAGAUCAGGGGUUCAAGACCAGCCUGACCAACAAGGUGAAAUGCCAUCUCCACUAAAAAUACAAAAAUUAGCCAGAAAUCACUUGAAUCUGGGAGGCAGAGGUUGCAGUGAGCCAGGAUUGUGCCACUGCUCUCCAGUCUGGGCAACAGAGUGAGACUCCAUCUCAAAAAGAAAAAGACAUACAGAAAGGGUUGGGUGAUGUAGCUCACACCUGCAAUCCCAGCACUUUGGGAAGCCAAGGCGAGAGGACCACUUAAGGCUAGAAGUUUGAGACCAGCCUAUGCAACACAGUGAGAUCCCUUCUUUAGGAAAAAAAAAAAAAAUCUGCCACAAAGGCCACAUUCAAUAGAAAACAUGUUUUAAAAAAUAGCCAGGCAUGAUGGCAUGCACCUAUAGUCCCAGUUACUCAGGAGGCUGAGUCAAGGAGAUUGCUUGAGCACAAGAGUUUGAGGUUACAAUAAGCAAUGAUCAGCUACUGCAUUCCAGCCUGGGCAACAGAGUGAGACCCUGUCUCUAAAGAAAAAUCAAACAAACAAAAAACGACAUACAGAAAGUAUGUGCUGUCUGAUUUCAACCCCAAGUUUGUCCUGCUUUACCAGGCUUUCUCCUGGGGGCUGGAGGUACUGGGGCCAAGGGCAGGGGUGGGGUGUGCAGGGGAUAGCAGUGCUCCAGCAGUAAGAGUUCCUGAAGAGUACUUCAUGAGGGGGUAUAUACCAGUAGAGGGGAAGCCACCAGCCAUCAGCAAAUAUGCAGAGGAAAACAACAACAAAAACAGACCCCAAGAUAUCAAUAGGAGGAGGACAGUCUGAAGUCAUCUGGCACCCAGCCAUUUUGGAAGAACUGAUGCUUCUCCGUGGGCCUUGCUCCCAUGGCUACCCCACCCCCAAGACAUCUUGUAACAGGCUCUUCCAGUAACCAGAGGCAGGUGAGCGAUGCUCUGAUCAACAAAUACACUGCAUGUGGUCUCCAUCUGCAAUAAACAAGUGGCUGUGCCCAGCCAAUGUCCUGUGUGGUGAAGGUGAGAAGAGUGAGGGAGAACCAAGCUGCAACCCUUGAUCUGAAUGUGGUUGAAAGUAUGAGAGCCGUUGUCAAAGUUAGUACACUGACACAGUGCAAUGUGCAUUAAAGUGAGAUAUAAGGUGACAGGAGAGGGGAAGGGAGCGGAGGGGAGGGGAGAGGAGGAGAGGGGAGAGCAGGAGCAGAACAGAAUAACACUGAAAGAACAAACUAGAGCUGAACCAAAAAUCAAGGGCAGGAUGUUGUAGAGUCUUGGAUGGGGUUCAAAUUCUGUCUUCUCCUGGGAAGUCUCCUGAGCCUGCUACGAGGUCUCAGCUUGCACCCUGUUGCCUCUGGCACCAAUGGAGCACCUACCCCAUGCAGGGUCCUUCAAAAACAAAGAAGGAGAUAAUUUCCAGUCUCAGGUGGGAAAUAUGCAGACUUGCAAACAGGGGCAGAGAAGGACAGGAACAACCAGUAAGUCUCCAAUUUGCAGACUGGGAAAAUUAAGGUCCAUGAGGAAAUGACUUUGCCUUAGGCUUCUGUCGGGAGCCCAGAUUUCUAGAGGAUGGGGGGAAUUUCACUGCUUUAGGCAUGUUUUUAAGAGCAGCUGAACACUCAGAACUGCCCCCAACAGUCUGAGGUCAUGAGGGGAACUCCAUGCCUGAUGACAGCUUUGGAAUCCAGAUAGAAUUAGGUUUCAUUUUCUCUACCAGCAUUUGGUUUCCUAAUGUCACAUUAUGAAACUUGGCUAGCAGCCAGCUUAGCUUUGGAAAGAGUGAAUGAUGGGGGGAAAAAAAGAAGACUACGCCAGGGAGGGAGGGUAGGAGAGGGGCUACACUAGGCUUGAGGGGAUAUAGGCCUGGCUUUAGUGAGGAUUAUGCUGGGAAAAGGGGUGCCAGAGGCAUGAAAGCUGAUAGGAACCAGCCCUGUGGAUCAAGAGGUCCAUCAGUGAGCCUGCAGGAUCUAUGAGCCCCUUAUAUGCAAAAUUACAUGUGUCUGUCUGGGUAUGUCUCUGCAGAUUGGUGGAAUUAUUUACAGCUUUCAUGAGAUUCUUUUUUUUUUUUUCUUUAAGAAAGGCAGACUGCCACAUGCAACACCUCAUUUGGAUGUGUCUGGAGUCUUGGAAGCUUGACUACAUUUGCCUACAAAUGGACCUUGAGAGCUUGUUUGGAGGUUCUAGCAGGGGAGCGCAGCUACUUGUAUACCCUUGACCAAAGAACAGUCCUCCUAUCUUGGGGAAGGUUGUCCUCUUCUGAAACUGCCUUUGCAAAUGUUAUAGCAGUGAGAAAAUUAUGACAGUGAAAGAAAUCUGAUCUGACCGAUUCCAUCUUGCUUCUAACCUCCCAGCUGCCUUUGUUCAUUCCUGGGCAUAGGGAGCACUCAAUUUGGGAGAAAUUUAGUUUAUAGUUUAACUUUGAAACAAAGAUGAUAACAGCCCCUCCCUUACACAAACCCACUAGAUUGGCCACAAGAUUAGAAAUUACGGCUCAGCAGUCGUGCAGCCAGAGGCUUUGAGACCACUAACCUCUCCAAUUGCUCCUGUAGAUAAUAUUACUAUUGUAAAACCUAAAAUUGGUGUUUGAGGUAUUUUUCAGACCCUGCAUUCUGAUGGAUCAGCUGGCACCACCCAUACCGGCAAACUGGCUCAUCUGGUCUUCUGGCCCCCACCCAGGAACCAACUCAGUGCAAGAGGACAGCUUCAACUCCCUAUGAUUUCAUCCCCGACCCAACCAAUCAGCAUUCCCGCUUCCCUAGCUCCCUGUCCUCCAAACUACCUUUCAAAAGCCCUAGCUUCCAAAUUUUCAGGGAGGCUGACUUGAGUAAUAAAACCCCUGUCUCCUGUUUAGCUGGC